CUGCAUUGUGUUCCUUUAAGGGAAAUGAUGUUUCGCUGGAAAAGGGAGGCUGUGUCUAUUUUACUUCUUUCCCUAGGACAUGAGUGAGUCGCCAGACAUGAAGGCUUUGCCUGUGAAUGUGCUGCCUCUCUCUGGGAUGGGCAGAGCUGAAGACCAACAGUAAUUGCUCCAGCUGGUAUCUGCAUCUGGUGGAUUUUGGAAGCUUACUCUCCCAUGUCCUCAGCACUAUUCUGCUAUUCCUGGGUAUGGCAUCUCCAUACCAAUCUGAAAACAUAAGAGAGCUCGAAGAAAAGCAUAGACUCAGAUGCAAUAAUCACUUGGGUUCUCUGAGUGAACAGCCUUGGGUAGCCACCAUCCAGAGCAGUGGAGACAUCACCAGUCCCAGAAGUCCCUGAUGUCCCUUCCAGUCACGACUCUGUCCCCUCGCCUAG
rnacentral:lncRNA from 10 species